GCUACCAAAUAAAGAUGAUUGAGUGAAUGGCUAAAGAAAUAAAUAUGUUCGAAUCUGUACUCAUCUCAUGUCUUUCCUGAUGUGGGUGUCCACUUCCAAGGAAAUGAUGAUUGAAAUGUUAGAAAUGCAAAAUUAAUUAACACCUUGUACAGUUCAUUUGGCUCCCGCAGACUCAGUAAUGGCUUUAUUUGUAUAUAACUGUGUCUGAUACCUAUUUUUGACAAGUUUGGACAAAAUAUCUGCUCGACACUAUUUCUGGAUUUCUGAUGCUGCUGAGAAUAGCUGCAAGGAUAAGAGGAUUGCCUCCUUUACUGUAUGUUUUCCACUGAGAUGAAGAUUUUGGUCAUUUCCUCAUUCAUGUUCCUGCUUUUCAAAACCCAAGCAAGAAAGGAAACUUCUACAGUGACUUUCUCAUUAUGAAAUCUUAGCAUUCACUAGUCGGCCAUAAUGGAAAACCAGCCAAAUGGACACAUAUACACUGGUCUGUACCCGCAGAGAAAGAACUGCAAAUCUCUGUGAUCAGAAAACUAUCCUAUCUUGUACAUUGUUAAAAGUCUGCCCCCAAAAAGUUUACUUCUGGAAUACUGUAAUUGAAUAGAAUCAGGGAUCCUACCUGUGUCCUUCAACUUUCAUAUCUUGUCUACUGAAGUAAGGGUUGAAUUUGCAUGACUAUAUCUAAGGUUCAAGGGCUUACCUGUUGGGAGUAGACCCAGUAGUCUAUGAAUGGAAAUGGGCAAACCUGUGACCUCCCA